rnacentral:lncRNA from 1 species
GAGUUUCUUCCACGUCAUUCCUUCCCUUCCCAUCCAAAGCUCUCAACUCAUCUCCCCAUCCCGUGAGCAUUUCAAACAGAGCCAUCCUCCGCAUGAUAAACUCAAAUCCUCAUCUCCUCCGCAUCCGUUCCCAGCCAGCGUCCAAGCUUCUCCUUCGCAUUGAACAGAUCAGGCCAUAUCCCACGGUCUUCGCAUCCAACAUCUAAGCCUAUCUCGUCCACUUCCUCCAUGCUUCGGUCAUCCAAGAUCUUCAUUUCUUCCCAACCAAAACCAAAUCGGAACAGAGUAUCCAGCCACCUUCCAUUCCCCUGUGUUGGGAUUAAUCUCUUCCGAAUCUAUCCCAACACCUUCCCAACUCCAAUAAGCUCAUUCAUCCUGACUGCAUCCAUAACCGGCCAAUGCAUCCAGUCUUCUGUUAUCCACGGAUAAGCUUCAAACUCUAACAAUCUGAGCAUCCCAUCAUCAUCCGAGAUCCUUCCAAAUAGCUGCAUCUCGAGCUUCACGGCAUCCCCUGCAUCCAAUAGAUUCAGCUCUCAUCCCAUCGUGAUCUGUCUUCGUCCACGUCUUCAACCGAACCCAACAUCCGCAUGAGUCCAUGCGAUCUCCCAGCUUCUUCCAAAUCCACUGCAUCUCAGAAGUUCAUCUUUCCGAAAAUCAAGCAUCUCUUCCCGUGUCCAGCUGCUUAACUGCAAGCCUCCGAACUUCUUCAUCUCAGCCGUGAACA